CCGUGAAGAGACCCCGAGGCAGAAGAGGGCCCCGACGCUGCCCGGUGACCCGCCUUGCCUGGCACGGGGCUGGCGCUCCAAACCGUUAGACCUGACAAGGUUGCCCUCCCUCUCUCGCGACGCCUUUCACAACAUGUAUUAUAACUCUUUCCACCAAUUUCAAAUAGUGCGGCUUAAAAGAUGAAGGAGAGCUAAACAAACCAGAAAGAAAAGAAAGAAAAAAUCCGCACCCAAUUUCGUAUCUCCAGUUGGUAAAGAAUGUAGCUGUCCGCUAUUUUGGAACGUCUCGUAUUUCUGAGUCUUUCACAAUGUGAAGUACUUCAUAAAGACAGUAAAAUCCUCUCAAGAUCAUAAAGAUGCUUUUGAAUCCAUGGUUUCCCAAAGGAGGGAAAGCGCCAGGACAUUAAUAUAAUUCAUGUGUAGCCUUUGCUUUGCCUUUAAGUGGACGAGCGUACUUUGAGCUCUUUGCCUUUAAGUAGACGAGCGUAAUUUGCACUGUUCUAGUUGUUGAGGAGUACAAAAAGAGGAAUAAAACAAUGCCUGCCCACAA